ACGAACGCUGGCGGCGCGUCUUAAGCAUGCAAGUCGAAUGGCAAGAUUGGUGCUUGCACCGAUCCUAGAAUGGGCAGACUGGUGAGUAACACGUGGGUGACAUACCCUCCGGAUGGGGGACAGCUGUUAGAAAUAGCAGGUAAUACCGAAUACGCUUACACAGGUUAGAGUGGUGUAAGGAAAGGUGCUUUGGCACCACCGGAGGAAUGGCUCGCGGCCCAUUAGCUAGUUGGUGAGGUAACGGCCCACCAAGGCAAUGAUGGGUAUCCGGCCUAAGAGGGUGAACGGACACAUUGGGACUGAGAUACGGCCCAGACUCCUACGGGAGGCAGCAGCUAAGAAUAUUCCGCAAUGGACGAAAGUCUGACGGAGCGACGCCGCGUGGAUGAUGAAGGCCGAAAGGUUGUAAAAUCCUUUUGAACCGGACGAAUAAUGAGUGUAGGGAAUGACAUUCAGGUGACGGUACGGUUUGAAUAAGAGACGGCUAAUUACGUGCC
rnacentral:rRNA from 1 species